GACUGGGUUGAUAGGCCGGAUCUGGAAGCACGGUAACGUGUGGAGGUGACCGGUACUAAUAGGCCGAGGGCUUGUCCUCAGUUG
rnacentral:rRNA from 1 species